rnacentral:tRNA from 1 species
UGGCUGAGUGGUUAAAGCGCUCAGCUGCUAACUGAAGGUUGGUGGUUCGAACUCACC